UACGAGGGGAGCAAGCGUUGUUCGGAUUUACUGGGCGUAAAGGGCGCGUAGGCGGCCACCGCAAGUCGACUGUGAAAUCUCCGGGCUUAACCCGGAAAGGUCAGCCGAUACUGCGGGGCUAGAGUGCAGAAGGGGCAACUGGAAUUCUCGGUGUAGCGGUGAAAUGCGUAGAUAUCGAGAGGAACGCCUGCGGCGAAGGCGGGUUGCUGGGCUGACACUGACGCUGAGGCGCGAAAGCUAGGGGAGCGAACGGG
rnacentral:rRNA from 1 species